rnacentral:rRNA from 1 species
AGAGCGAACGCUGGCGGCAGGCCUAAUACAUGCAAGUCGAACGGACCCUUCGGGGUUAGUGGCGGACGGGUGAGUAACACGUGGGAACGUGCCCUUUGGUUCGGAACAACUCAGGGAAACUUGAGCUAAUACCGAAUGUGCCCUUCGGGGGAAAGAUUUAUCGCCAUUGGAGCGGCCCGCGUCUGAUUAGCUAGUUGGUGAGGUAAAGGCUCACCAAGGCUACGAUCAGUAGCUGGUCUGAGAGGAUGAUCAGCCACACUGGGACUGAGACACGGCCCAGACUCCGUACGGGAGGCAGCAGUAGGGAAUCUUGCGCAAUGGGCGAAAGCCUGACGCAGCCAUGCCGCGUGAAUGAUGAAGGUCUUAGGAUUGUAAAAUUCUUUCAGCGGGGACGAUAAUGACGGUACCGCAGAGAACGCCCGGCUAACUCGCGCCAGCAGCCGC